UACAGGUGCUAAACGCAUCUGAGGCUCUCUCUGCCUAUCACACUUCGUUCGUCCCCUCUCUCUUUUCUUUUGCUCCGCCGACGGAUCUUUCACGCCGACACCGCCUUCCAUGUCAGACGCCACCCAGCCGCCCCUCUACAUGACGUCCAACUCCUCCGCUACUCACGAAACCCCAAUAAGCCUCUAAAUCCCUCGUCUAUCUGUGUAUUUGGUUUCGACUCUCCCUCUCAAUAACUAUCUCUUUGUACCAAGCCAGUCAAUGUGAGUAGUGGAGGCCGUUGCAACCUGUCUAGCCACAUUGCCUCGCUCCGUCGAAUCCUCGCUGCAGUGCCACAUUGCCCACAAAAAUCUAGUCGACCACCACUCCGAGUUGGGAUAAGAUCAUGGUCAGGCUCUGUAACGAUUAUGCUUCUAAAGUAACUCUUCUCGAGAAUUAAAAGAAAAAAUAUUGGAGAUCGAGCAGCUAAAAUCAAGGCUGAGAAAGUUGGAGGAGUUAAUAUCGUUGAAGGUGCCAUUAAGACAAUAACAAGAAGCUGAUGAGGAGCUGCAGAUGAGAUUAGAAGUUCGGGGUCAAGAAAUGCUUGAACAUAUGCAAAUGAUUAUGUCACAAAAAUUUAAUCUCCACCAUCGUAGAAACAUUUUUUAAUAUUUUGUAUCAAAACCUUUGUAGAGUUUGAUGACAAUUUCAACAAUUGUGGAAUAUUUAAUAUCUAUUAUAUUUGAAUUUCACAUUUAAUGGCAAGGAUUGGAACA